GCGGCGGCUGACGGCAACGUUAGAGAGUCCGGAGACGUCGGCGGGGGCCUCGGGAAGAGUUAUCUUUUCUGUUGAACGGCCUGCCCACCCUGAAAACGGCUCAGCCGGAGGUAGGGUCCAGCGGCCGGAUGAGCACCGCACGUCGCGUGGUGUCCGGUGCACCCCCGGCGGCCCUUGAAAAUCUGGAGGACCGAGUGCCGUCCG
rnacentral:ncRNA from 1 species